UCGCUGUGGUUUACACACCGAAUUCUGAAAGCCCCUCAAAAAGUGAUUUUCUGUCGUUUCAGACAAGCAAAUAAGAAAUAAAAAGGACACGUAGAAAGAAACGAAGGAAAUAUGGUGUCCCGGAAUUUCGUUCGGUACGUCGGGUACGCCGGCGCCGCUGCAAACUGGCUGAUUCCCAUUGCUGGGAUCAUGAAUCUUCCGACUCGCCCUAUGUCUGAUAUCGAUCCAGUUAUGACAAGCGUUAUGUGCGUCUAUAGCAUGUUCUUUAUGCGGUGGUCUGUCUCUAUUCUGCCGGCGAACUAUCCACUGUUUGCGUGCCACGCAACAAACAGCACGGUGCAAGCUGUCACAUUGGGCCGCUGGUGCUACGGCACCGCAACGCAACCGCAGAAGGUGAUCGCGUAAGGCACUUUUGCUUGUUUCGCGCCUUCCUCUACUUUCCCCUUCUCUCACUUGGCCAACAGACUCAGCUCAGUCUCACGAGGCGAACUUGACAUUCAUCGGGGCGAAAUCAAAAAAGCGUAGCAGCAUCGCACGGCAGUCCUUUGUGUAUAGGUAUGCUUAUUUCACUCGGUAAGGAUUGCACUUAGCGCCAGUAGGUCUGAUUCUCAAUUCCGCCUCUUGUGGCUUUGUCCGAUAUAUACAUAUAUACAUAUCAGUAUAUAUAUGUAUGCAUAUAUAUAUACUGAUAUGUAUCAAGGCCUUCAAAAGAGUACUUGUUGAGGAACACGCAUUUUGCGAGACCAACUGCAUGAUGGGGUGAAGAGCAUUCAACGUGUUGCUUCCUCUGAGUUUUUUGUUGUUUCUAUGUUUGAAUUAUUAACCUCCUGCUUGGUGGACUAUCAAUCUGGCACCUGCAAAGACGACGCUGGUCGACGGGAAACAAACAGACAAAAAGAAGCAACUCAAAUUGUGUGGGGGGAAGGUGUUUGGUGAGAGCAGUGGCCAUGAACCUGAGACUACGAAGACAUCCUCCCACCCCCAUCAUUCCUCUGCAGUCCGCCAAGAAGCACAUCUUGGCAUUCG
rnacentral:misc_RNA from 1 species